GGGUCCCUAGCUCAGCGGUUAGAGCGGCCGGCUCAUAACCGGUUGGUCGUCGGUCUGAAUCCGGCGGGACCCA
rnacentral:tRNA from 1 species